AUUGAACGCUGGCGGCAUGCCUUACACAUGCAAGUCGAACGGUAACGGGUCCUUCGGGAUGCCGACGAGUGGCGAACGGGUGAGUAAUAUAUCGGAACGUGCCCAGUAGUGGGGGAUAACUGCUCGAAAGAGCAGCUAAUACCGCAUACGACCUGAGGGUGAAAGGGGGGGAUCGCAAGACCCCUCGCUAUUGUAGCGGCCGAUAUCAGAUUAGCUAGUUGGUGGGGUAAAGGCCUACCAAGGCAACGAUCUGUAGUUGGUCUGAGAGGACGACCAGCCACACUGGGACUGAGACACGGCCCAGACUCCUACGGGAGGCAGCAGUGGGGAAUUUUGGACAAUGGGCGCAAGCCUGAUCCAGCAAUGCCGCGUGCAGGAAGAAGGCCUUCGGGUUGUAAACUGCUUUUGUCAGGGAAGAAAUCUUCUGGGCUAAUACCCCGGGAGGAUGACGGUACCUGAAGAAUAAGCACCGGCUAACUACGUGCCAGCCGCCGCAGUAAUAC
rnacentral:rRNA from 1 species